CGGGACGGGUGAGUAACGCGUGGGCAACCUGCCCCGCACUGGGGGACAACAGCUGGAAACGGCUGCUAAUACCGCAUAAGCGCACAGCUUCGCAUGAAGCAGUGUGAAAAACUCCGGUGGUGCGGGAUGGACCCGCGUCUGAUUAGCUGGUUGGCGGGGUAACGGCCCACCAAGGCGACGAUCAGUAGCCGGCCUGAGAGGGUGGACGGCCACAUUGGGACUGAGACACGGCCCAGACUCCUACGGAAGGCAGCAG
rnacentral:rRNA from 1 species